CAGGACUGUAUCAACAUGGCUCAGGCGCAGCUGGACACAGAUAUGCAACUGGAACACGCCUCCCAGAGCUUCUUGAGAGAAGCCCUGAAUCCUGGAGAGAAUAUUCUCUACAGAAGACGACUGUGGGUUCUCUUCAUGAGAUCGUUGUGGGAAAGAUACGUGACCCCGCGUGAAGUGGCUGCAAGGCUAGCGCCUCUUCAGCGACACAUGGAC